UGUACUGUAAUGGUCCACUCAUACAGAAUACUAAGUACUACAUUAGACUCCGGCUUACACAGCGAGGGGAUUCGCUGACACUGCUUACUCAGAUCCUUUCACCACAGCUGCUGUUUAUACCACUCGCUGUAAACUACGGACAUAAGUCAACACCCGAAGAAUAAGGCUUGGAUGAAGUAUAAGUAUUCUAAUAGAAUUGUGAUUCAGUGGAACAAGACAACAUCCCUAAGAACAUGAUAUGUGCUUGCUAUAAGAGACAAUUAAAGGCCACAAUGUCCACUGCACAAGUUCAGCAACUGAAAGACCUGUAGUCAGCAUUUUUAGAGUACUACAUAUUUCAUUCAUGUGGACAUAUACCUUCAUUUAUUAUAAAAUAUAGCAAGAUGGAGGACAGUUUUCCCAUCCUGGUUUCCCAAAGAUCCAGGUAAGGGAACAUUUCUGCUGAUCGAAACAAAAGAAAUUUGCCCUAGCUGGAGCAUAGAAAAUAUUGAGAGGUAUAUUCUACAGGUUCAAGGAAAAGAGUAACUGGUCUUUCUGCCAAAACCACAGUGACAGGAGGAAAGACACUGCAUGGAGACUGUUUUUGUGUCUCUCUGUAGGCAGCAAAGAAUUCCAACCCUAUUCUCAUUUCCCAAUUCCAUCUUCCAAGAUUGACAAGCCACCAAACUAAAGAGCACAUAAAGGAAACCAGCCUCCACUUGCUGACCUGCAGAGUCUGGCUCCUUCAUGAUUCUUCCUCAUAGUGCACAGCUCAUUACAACACUGGAAUGCCUAGGACAGAAAUGACAGUGCACAGCUCAUUACAACCCUGGAAUGCCUAGAACAGAAGUGACAGUGCACAGCUAAAUACAACCUUGGAAUGCCUAGGACAGAAAUGACAGUGCACAGCUAAUUACAACCUUGGAAUGCCUAGGACAGAAGUGACAGUGCACAGCUAAUUACAACCCUGGAAUGCCUAGGACAGAAAUGACAGUGCACAGCUAAUUACAACCCUGGAAUGCCUAGGACGGAAAUGACAGUGCACAGCUAAUUACAACCCUGGAAUGCCUAGGACAGAAAUGUUGUCAUAUUUUACAGUUUAAAGACUUGGUCAGAAAAUUAAAACUCCAGACAUAAUGUAAAUGUAAUUGUGACAGAAUGAAAAUUUAAUUGAUAUAUAAUUUCAAUCAAUUAAACUAUUAUGAUAUGAAUUCAUUUAUUAAUUAUUUGUAACACAUGAAUUGAUUUAUGAAUAUAUUUACAGUACUCAUGCAGUUGAUUAACCUAAGAAUUGUCAUGUGGAUAUUUUUAACUUUUAAGCACUGUAGCAAUUUUUGGAGGAGAUACCUAUGCUUAAUUAUGGUCAGGUAUACAGGGUUUCCAAUCAUGUGAUUAUAAUUUUGGAGGGAAUUUUUCUAUUGUGAUGUUUAGUUCCGGGCUUACUGUAGUCAUUGUUAAAAAGGUACUUUCAGUCAAAAUGAAUUGUUUUGUAGAGAAUAUUCUUCAUCAGUCAAUUGAUUUGUAGAUGCAUAUAUAAUUACAGUAGAACUUCGAUAUCUUGAACACUGAUAUUUCGAAUACCAUGGAUAUGUGAACUGAUUUGGAAGUCCCAACUAAUUAUUCUUUCAGUAUUUACCCUUGAUAUCUCAAUUCCUCGGAUAUCUCGAAGAUUUUUCUAGGUCCCAUCGACUUUUAGAUAACGAGGUUUAAAUAAAUACAAAUGUAUAUGCUUCUAUGAUAAAAGAAAUAUCUUGAAACCUUUUUAAUUUUAUUAUAAUGGUUGAUCAUAUUGUAUUUAUUUUUUAUCCAUGGAUAAAAUAGUUUCAUGAUGUGAGUAUAAGAAUCUAGUAUUAGUUUUUCAAUUUUACAACUCGUGAGU